rnacentral:rRNA from 1 species
UACAGAGGGGGCAAGCGUUGUUCGGAAUUACUGGGCGUAAAGGGCGCGUAGGCGGCCUUCUAAGUCGAACGUGAAAUCCCCGGGCUCAACCCGGGAACUGCGUCCGAUACUGGAAGGCUUGAAUCCGGGAGAGGGAUGCGGAAUUCCAGGUGUAGCGGUGAAAUGCGUAGAUAUCGGGAGGAACACCAGUGGCGAAGGCGACUUCCUGGCCUGUUCUUGACGCUGAGGCGCGAAAGCUAGGGGAGCAAACGGGG